GCGCGGGUGGCGAAACUAGAAGACGCACUACCUUGAGGUGGUAGCGCCCGUUAGGGCAUGCAGGUGCAAUUCCUGUCCCGCGCA
rnacentral:tRNA from 1 species